GUAGUCCACGCCGUAAACUAUGGAUAUUAGCUGUCGGGAGACUUACCCUCUCGGUGGCGCCGCAAACGCAUUAAAUAUCCCGCCUGGGAAGUACGGCCGCAAGGUUAAAACUCAAAGAAAUUGACGGGGGCCCGCACAAGCGGUGGAGUAUGUGGUUUAAUUCGACGCAACGCGAAAAACCUUACCUAGGCUUGACAUCCCGCGCUACCCUAUGAAAGUAGGGGUUCCCGUAAGGGACGCGGAGACAGGUGCUGCAUGGCUGUCGUCAGCUCGUGUCGUGAGAUGUUGGGUUAAGUCCCGCAACGAGCGCAACCCUUGCCAUUAGUUGCUACCAUUAAGUUGGGCACUCUAAUGGGACCGCUUGCCGAUAAGGCAGA
rnacentral:rRNA from 1 species